UUAACAGCAGUGGCAUAAAUGUAAAUAUCACAAACUCUAGAAAAACCCCCCUGAAACCCUAAUUUUUGUGCCUCACCGCGUCUCUCCUUUUAGUAUAUAAUCGCUGCAACACCAACAAUUACUUGUUGCCUCCCCUCUCUCUAUCUAUGUCCUUCGGCUCUCCUCUGGUAAAUCUGAUCAAAGUUUUAUUUUUCAAUGGCUUUAUGCUGUUUUUCUUAUGCCUGUGCCUGUGAUGGUGUUAAAUAUACUAUGAGAUUUCAAUAUCAAUGAAAAGAAUUUAAAGCUGAGGCAUUUAGGCUCCUUCUUUCUUAUUUGUUCUCUAAUUGUUAAGAGAAUGAAAAUUUCUGAGGUGAGUAAUUAUCGCUAAUUAGCAUGUUUUUGUGAAUUUUGCUACAUUUCGUAUUAGCAGUGUACGAUUUUUGGAUCUUUUUUUAUUUUAAUUUUACACAUUUAUGUGUGAUGCAAGUGAUGAUAAACUAGACAGGGACAUCAGCUAUUCCUUCGGGAAAAUGAUGACUUAGUCUAAAAUGGGAAUCUCUCUGAUGCAUUAUACAUGUCAUAAUUUUGUUUUCUUAUAAUGCGCAUGUUUUUGAGAUUUCUUAGAUUUGGAGUCUUUAACCAUGGUAGCAUUUGAAAAAGUUUGGGACUUCAUCUGUAAUGAGUUUUACUGUGCUGCAAGUGAAUAGAUGACUGAUCACGGUUGAUUAGUAAUUGUCCACUUGAUGUGCAAAUUAGUAACCAUUUUAUGUGAAGUCUAAAUCUUUUUAGUGGCAUCUAAAUUACCAUGGUUAUUAAUUAAUCUGAGGUUUCUGAUAUCUCUAUGUCAAUGUUCUCAAACUUUUUUUUUUUUUUUUUUUUUUCAAGUAUAUAUUGAAGGUUAUUUAGGAUAAAAUAGUUUGUGCAAAUGAUGAUAAAGAAAGACAGGGACAUCAGAAAUCUGUUCGAGCAUGAUGAUUGUCUGUGGGAAUCUCUCUGAUGCAAAAUAUAAGUUUAGUUAGGAACACCCGUAGUCUGUUGGAGUGAUAAUAACAGCUUAUCAUUUUCUACAAUUUCAGUAUGAAAGAUAUAGAUUUGACAAACUUUAAUACACUUGUUAUGCAAUCUUGUGCAUGGUUUUAUUUUGUUGUGUUUUUGUGUUAGCUUGAUUUUAAGUUUAGAAGAAGGUUCAGAUUAUUAUGAUAAGUUUGCCUAUGAUGAUAUGAAUGCACGUAUUAUCAGAUAUUAUCUCAUGAUGAUAUCUAUCUAAUUGUCACUACCUCUGAGGCAAAGUAUUCACUUGAACUUAAGAUUUCUCGGUUCAUGGUAGAGCUUUUGGAUUAGUUAAAACAGUUGCCUGAUAUAGUUAGUUGUUGUUGCACGAGGUCUCCAGGGUUUUGCUUUUGUGGAUUUUAUCUGUAUUUUAGUUGUAUGUCAAAAAGCCUGAUGAUUAUCAUAUAAGAACGGAGAUUUGAACGAUGGCAGUUGUAGUAGCUUGAUUACAAAUUGGGCUCCAACAGCAUCAAGUGUAAAAAGCCGUCGACGAUAGAAUAUGAAGGCUUUUGUAUUUAGUUUAAUAUGUAGUUUUGGGAACAUUAGAGAGUGGAUGAAAGGCAUAACUAACUAGUUGGAUGUUGAAAAGAAUUGUGAAGGCUCUGCCUUAAUUUGAUAUAUGAUGAGGCAAAUGAGAACAACAGCCUCUGUUCUAUUGUAUUCUUUUUGUUUGAGUUUAUAUUUUCCAUUUAUAGUGAUGAUGAUUUGUCAA